rnacentral:tRNA from 2 species
GGGCCGGCGGGGGCCCCACGGCCCCGGCGGCCGGAUGAUGCCCGGCGAGAAGGCCCGGGAUUUCAAGGGGACGAUCCUCCGUCUGCUGGCCUA